ACUCCUACGGGAGGCAGCAGUGGGAAUCUUGGACAAUGGGGCAACCCGUGAUCCAGCCAUGCCGCGUGAGUGAUGAAGGCCUUAGGGUCGUAAAGCUCUUUCGCCUGUGAAGAUAAUGACGUGAGCAGGUAAAGAAACCCCGCUAACUCCUGUGCCAGCAGCCGCGGUAAUACGGAGGGGUUAGCGUUGUUCGGAAUUACUGGGCG
rnacentral:rRNA from 1 species